UACGUAGGGCGCAAGCGUUGUCCGGAAUUAUUGGGCGUAAAGAGCUCGUAGGCGGUUUGUCGCGUCUGCUGUGAAAGCCCGGGGCUCAACCCCCGGGGUCUGCAGUGGGUACGGGCAGACUAAGAGUGCAGUAGGGGAGACUGGAAUUCCUGGUGUAGCGGUGAAAUGCGCAGGAUAAUCAGGAGGAACACCGAUGGCGAAGGCAGGUCUCUGGGCUGUUACUGACGCUGAGGAGCGAAAGCAUGGGGAGCGAAACAGGA
rnacentral:rRNA from 1 species